rnacentral:tRNA from 1 species
AUGAUGAAAAACCGUCAAUUCAUUUUACUCCUCUCUCUUCUUCCCCUCACGACCCCACUGGCUUACGCUGCGCCUACCCGCGCAGCCCUCAGCGGUAGCUACCAGGCCGGCGGCGCGCUGGCCGAUAGCCAAAACGCCAUCGCCUUGGGCAACGGCGCCCAUGUGACGACCGGAGCCCACAGCGCCGUCGCCGUCGGGGUCGGCGCCGCGAUCACGUCAUCCCUUGAUGGCAUCGCCAUCGGCAGCCAAGCCGCGAUCCAGGGCAAGGCCGACGGCGCCACCGCCAUUGGCAGCGGCAGCCAGAUCGACAGCAAUAACGUCGGCAGUAACGCCAUCGGGAUCAAUAGCCAUGUCCACGCCGAUGCCGCCGGCGCCAAUGCCAUCGGCGACACCGCCAGCGUCGGCAGCGCGGCCGCGGGCGCUAACGCCAUUGGCACCUUUAGCCGCGUCGGCGACAAUGCCAGCGGCGCCGUCGCCUUGGGCAGCGACGCCAGCGUCGGCGACAACGCCCGCAGCAGCGUCGCCAUCGGCGAUCAUGCCAGCGUGGCCAGCGGCACCACCAACGCCGUCAGCAUCGGCGAUCACAGCACUAACCAGCGCAGCCAGAGCGUCUCAUUCGGCGACGCCGCCCAUCAGCGCCAGCUCACCCACGUCGCCGCCGGCACACAGUCUACCGACGCCGUGAAUCUCGGGCAGCUGAACAGCGUGGCCAAGGCAGGACAGCAGCGUCAGCAGCAGCUGCUGCACAAUAGCGUCAGCAUUCACGCUAACCAGCAGAAUAUUGCCGGAAACAGUCAGCAAAUCGACGAUAACGGUCAGCAGAUCACCGCCAACGCGCAGGAGGUCCGCGACAACGGCCAGCGUAUCCAUCGCAAUGCGCAGACAAUUCAGCGUAACUGGCGAGCGGUCAAUGCGUGGCAAAGCGGCGUCAGCCGUCAUCUUGGCGCCAUGCAGCAUCAGAUCGACAACAACCGCCAUGAAAUGCGGCAGAUCGCCGCCAAAGAUGCCGCGCUGGCCGGACUAUUCCAGCCCUAUAGCGUCGGUAAGUUCAACGCCAGCGCCGCGCUGGGCGGCUAUAAGGAUCAGCAGGCCGUCGCCGUCGGCGUGGGCUACCGCUUUACCCAUCAGCUGGCGGCCAAAGCCGGCGCCGCCUUCAAUGACAACUCGCUGGAGUAUAACGUCGGCGUCAACUACGAAUUUAACUGA